rnacentral:rRNA from 1 species
UCGCUCCGCGACCCCAGGUCAGGCGGGACUC